rnacentral:rRNA from 1 species
GAUGAACGCUAGCGAUAGGCCUAACACAUGCAAGUCGAGGGGCAGCGGGGGCUUCGGCCUGCCGGCGAGUGGCGAACGGGUGAGUAAUGCAUCGGAACGUGCCCAGUCAUGGGGGAUAACUACGCGAAAGCGUAGCUAAUACCGCAUACGCCCUGAGGGGGAAAGUGGGGGAUCUUCGGACCUCACGUGAUUGGAGCGGCCGAUGUCAGAUUAGCUAGUUGGUGAGGUAAAGGCUCACCAAGGCGACGAUCUGUAGCGGGUCUGAGAGGAUGAUCCGCCACACUGGGACUGAGACACGGCCCAGACUCCUACGGGAGGCAGCAGUGGGGAAUUUUGGACAAUGGGGGCAACCCUGAUCCAGCCAUGCCGCGUGAGUGAAGAAGGCC